GGGUUGUGAGGUUAAGCGACUAAGCGUACACGGUGGAUGCCCUGGCAGUCAGAGGCGAUGAAGGACGUGCUAAUCUGCGAUAAGCGUCGGUAAGGUGAUAUGAACCGUUAUAACCGGCGAUUUCCGAAUGGGGAAACCCAGUGUGAUUCGUCACACUAUCAUUAACUGAAUCCAUAGGUUAAUGAGGCGAACCGGGGGAACUGAAACAUCUAAGUACCCCGAGGAAAAGAAAUCAACCGAGAUUCCCCCAGUAGCGGCGAGCGAACGGGGAGCAGCCCAGAGCCUGAAUCAGUGUGUGUGUUAGUGGAAGCGUCUGGAAAGGCGCGCGAUACAGGGUGACAGCCCCGUACACAAAAAUGCACAUGCUGUGAGCUCGAUGAGUAGGGCGGGACACGUGGUAUCCUGUCUGAAUAUGGGGGGACCAUCCUCCAAGGCUAAAUACUCCUGACUGACCGAUAGUGAACCAGUACCGUGAGGGAAAGGCGAAAAGAACCCCGGCGAGGGGAGUGAAAAAGAACCUGAAACCGUGUACGUACAAGCAGUGGGAGCCUCUUAAUGGGGUGACUGCGUACCUUUUGUAUAAUGGGUCAGCGACUUAUAUUCUGUAGCAAGGUUAACCGAAUAGGGGAGCCGAAGGGAAACCGAGUCUUAACUGGGCGUUAAGUUGCAGGGUAUAGACCCGAAACCCGGUGAUCUAGCCAUGGGCAGGUUGAAGGUUGGGUAACACUAACUGGAGGACCGAACCGACUAAUGUUGAAAAAUUAGCGGAUGACUUGUGGCUGGGGGUGAAAGGCCAAUCAAACCGGGAGAUAGCUGGUUCUCCCCGAAAGCUAUUUAGGUAGCGCCUCGUGAAUUCAUCUCCGGGGGUAGAGCACUGUUUCGGCAAGGGGGUCAUCCCGACUUACCAACCCGAUGCAAACUGCGAAUACCGGAGAAUGUUAUCACGGGAGACACACGGCGGGUGCUAACGUCCGUCGUGAAGAGGGAAACAACCCAGACCGCCAGCUAAGGUCCCAAAGUCAUGGUUAAGUGGGAAACGAUGUGGGAAGGCCCAGACAGCCAGGAUGUUGGCUUAGAAGCAGCCAUCAUUUAAAGAAAGCGUAAUAGCUCACUGGUCGAGUCGGCCUGCGCGGAAGAUGUAACGGGGCUAAACCAUGCACCGAAGCUGCGGCAGCGACGCUUAUGCGUUGUUGGGUAGGGGAGCGUUCUGUAAGCCUGCGAAGGUGUACUGUGAGGUAUGCUGGAGGUAUCAGAAGUGCGAAUGCUGACAUAAGUAACGAUAAAGCGGGUGAAAAGCCCGCUCGCCGGAAGACCAAGGGUUCCUGUCCAACGUUAAUCGGGGCAGGGUGAGUCGACCCCUAAGGCGAGGCCGAAAGGCGUAGUCGAUGGGAAACAGGUUAAUAUUCCUGUACUUGGUGUUACUGCGAAGGGGGGACGGAGAAGGCUAUGUUGGCCGGGCGACGGUUGUCCCGGUUUAAGCGUGUAGGCUGGUUUUCCAGGCAAAUCCGGAAAAUCAAGGCUGAGGCGUGAUGACGAGGCACUACGGUGCUGAAGCAACAAAUGCCCUGCUUCCAGGAAAAGCCUCUAAGCAUCAGGUAACAUCAAAUCGUACCCCAAACCGACACAGGUGGUCAGGUAGAGAAUACCAAGGCGCUUGAGAGAACUCGGGUGAAGGAACUAGGCAAAAUGGUGCCGUAACUUCGGGAGAAGGCACGCUGAUA
rnacentral:rRNA from 1 species